UGCACCCUAACCAGUUUUUGUGUCUCCUCUACCUGCUCCCCAUUCCGAGACAAGUUCAUCUACCCACCAGAAGUGUCUGAAUUUGAGUAGGAUCUAAGGCAAAUUCAUCGUCCCAACCACCAUAACCAUCGUUUUCCCCUUCUUGAUGUCCAACACCUCUAUAGUUUGCUGUUGAGGUGGUGGACUGUUCUGUUGAUCAUCAGAUCUUUUGGCAUCAUCAAAUCGGUCAGUUCUCUUCUUCCUAACCAUAUUGAAAGGUGCACACACAGAAGACAACAGACUAAAUUACUUUAUGGUUCAUAAUCCAUUAACAAAAAUCAAACACCAGAAACUUAGCCAACGUAAACA
rnacentral:lncRNA from 1 species